UGUCUGCGUUUUACUCCAUUUCCUAUGCGUUUAAUGCACGGUGCUGUGUUUUUAUAGACAUCAGAGGAUUCGUUCCCUUCAACACACCCAUCAAGGAAUUAAUCCCAGCCCAAAUAAAUUACCCUUUCUAUCUAAAAUUCUUUUUCGAUUUGAAUUCCCCCAAAUUAGAAUUCCCGUUAGAAAAAGUAUCACUCCCAUUAACCGCCUCACUUUCUAGUCUCGAUUUCUCCGGCUGCGACGACGCCUCCGAUUCCGGCUGCUCAUCGUGGCUCCAGGCGCCGCCGACGUCGAAGCAAUCUCCGUGUUUAUUUAAAUCGACGAGGCGGGAUACACGUCACCGUCGACCUCCUCACGGACUCACCGUCUGAUUUCGGUGCCGCCGAUUCUCUCUGAACGGCUCUCCAGAAUCCACCAAGCAGUCGUUGCAGCGGUGGACUGCCGUGGACUUCUCGGCCUAACUAAGUUGUUUCCAUUAACUUUCCAGUUUAUAAAUUUUAUCUUCCUGUUUGGCUAGAUAUGUUAGGGAGUUAGAUCUGGGUCAUGAUAUAUGGGUUCCCAUCUUGAUUUGUGAAGCUAUUAAACUUAUUGUGAUGUCCAAACAUUCUUGGGUUGAAAGAGCAGGUCAUCGCUUGUUUAUUUGUAGAUUGGUGUUAUUCCUUUGAGCAUUUAUCUUAGAAUUUGGUCUCAGCCAUUUUGCAAGCUAGACCCACUGACUGACUCUAUUUCUCUCUCGAUUUUGAUGGUGAAACAGUUGUGUGAUGCUGGAACUGUAGUUUGUUGGGAACUCUGCAGAGGUUGACAUGGAAAAAUAUGCAAGGAAUCUUCCUCGUCACCUUAUUGCAGUGAUUAUGGAUUGGGAAAUGGACAAAUCCACAUUCAAGUAUUUGCUAUGUGGAAUUCUUCUCUUGCAUUCCAUGAUUCAUCUUGCCUCUCGAGUGCCCAAAAUUGAACAGAUAUUGCUUGAUGAUGUGAAGAUAUCAGAGCAACUGAUUGACCUGGUCUUCUAUCUGCUAGUUCUACUUGGUCCAUACAGACAUGAAUCUCACACCAUACCCAAUGGCAUGGUUCUUCUUCAUUCGGCUCUGGUAGUUUGUAUUAUAAAAUUGUUUCUCCACACUACCAAGAGGUUGCUCAAGCAUUGAAUGCAUAUUACAAGGUAGCAAUCCAGGAUUUGGUGAAAACUAAGAACAUUAAAUUACUUGUUUAAUGGUGGACAUAUUCAUAGAGGCAGAAUUUGCUGCUGUUUGUGUAGAUGUCAAGUUUCUGCAGACCAACGAUUCAUCUGGAAGUGCUUUCCCUACUACUGAAGAGACCUUGAAUCACCUCUGCCAGAGUGUGAUUCUUCUCUUCAAUUUCUACAGUCCUUGUGUCAGCAAAAGUUGUUCCGGGAAUGCAUUGUGAAGAACAAGAUUUUAUCCUUUCAUCUGAUUAGAGUUUUCACUGCCUGAAAGCAUUGACAUUUCUUUAAAAUGUCAAAUGUGGUGAAUACAUGUUUCUGCUCCAGGAAACUUGAGCUGGAAUUUCUAUUUUGCAUACAUGUUUCUGCUCCGGGACUUCAUUUAUUUCUGUCCAAGUGAGAUAGUAAGAGAUUCCAUAAUCAGCUUGAUUUGCUUAUGUGGCUGCAGCUUUAUCUGAUGCAUGUUGAUGUAUGUCCUAGGAUUUGUUUGUUACAUUUGAGCUUGGGUGAAAAAGUUGAUGUUUGAUACGUGGGAAUGUAAUUCCUUGUCUCCCAAUAGUAUAGCACAUUUGGUCGAUGUGGUUUAAGUGGAUAAAGGGUUUUAUUGAGGGUCCCACUAUGUUGUGAAAAAAUGUGGUUUUUUGAUAAAUGUGUCAUUGGAAGUUUGAAAUAUAAACUAGAGUGUCUUCAUGAACCAAAAUGGAAAGUGCUAAAUUUUAGGGGACACCAGACAUAGUAAUUGUGCUAUAGUACUGGGGGUCGGAUAAAGUAAUUGUUACACUAGAGAAUGAUUAUACAAUGUUGGGCAGUCAAUUAUUUUUAAGCUAGAUUAGUACUGUGAAUUAGCAUAUUACAAGUUCUAUUAAUAGCAUUUAUAACUUUAUCCCGCUAGAGAACUAAAAUCUCACACUUCUGAAUUCUUUCUUCAUUCGUGUUUACUUUCUCUUUUUCUUUUCCCCUUUUGUUUCUUUAUUAUUUAUUUUCUCCCUUGUGUCAUGUUUAUUAAUUCAGGAGUAGUGUGGUAAUGUAGUCGUUCUUAUUCUGGUUUAGGCUGUCAUGAACUUAAAAUUAUUGGGCUUAGACAAUAUUUCCUCGUACAUGGCUGCUAUCUCUCACCUAAAAUCUAAAGCUUUAUCUAUUGCGAGUGCACUUUCCAAUUAAGAUUAGUGGAUUUAUGCCUUUGAAUAAUACAACUGCUGCUGGUAAAGUUAGCGCACCUUAAAAUUUUUAUGUGCUUGUGCUUGGUGUGGUUGUGUAAACCGGCCCUUAUUUCUUUGAAGUAAAUGUAUUUUUUUCUGCUGCAGCUGUUGCACCUUUGUGAAGCUGAAAGUGUAUCCUACCUGGAAGAGGUGGCCAGCAAAACAUCAACUCAGGAUGUGGCAAAGUCUGUUGGACUCAAGGUUCUUGCGUUGCUAAAAAAAUGUUUAAUGCUCCCUCUGAGGCAAGCUACCCGAAGGGGCAACUGGAACUUAAUGCAAUGCGCUUGGCAGAUGUCUUGUCAGAUGAUUCAAAUUUUCUGUCAUUCAUCAUGAUAAACUUUAUGAGAAGGAUCUGUCAACAAGUUCGUUUGGUUCAUAUGGAAGGACUAUCAGAAACUGUCAGAUGGAUUCUUCUCUCUACUUCAAAGCUGACAAAGUAUCCACAAUUAGCAAGAACUUAUGUAUGCCUGCUUCUAAUACACUAUUGCAUGUAGGUUCACUAUUAAGUCAUGAUUUUUGAAUGAAGAUGAUGUACAACUACUGAGGUAAUUUCAAUGUAUGCUUUCCUUCCAUGCUGAUAUCGGGCAUUAAUUAUUUGUUUGUCCUAUCUUUCUUAGUUUGCAAUUUAGGUAAUGAAACAUUCUCGCACAUGGUCAUUAUGCUGCGUCUUAUAGUUCCUCUUUUUUUUAUUUAAUAAACCUGCUUCACUCAACACAUUUAUUCAUUAUGUGCAUUCUGUAGAUAGGUAAUCUUGUUCGUGGGUUAUUUAUAAGUCAUUUUGUGUCCCGGAUCGUUCGUGCUGCAUCUGAAGAUCAUUUAGUCCAUGACUAGCUUCCUAUAUUGGACUCUCAGCCCAGAUGAAAAAAAGAGUCGCCCAAUGCUACAUUUUUUCUGGAAUAAGCUUCAUAAAAAAGGAGUUUUAAUGCAGAAAAGGAAGGUAGGAAGGUAGUUUUCCCAUACGUAUUCGAGGAUUCUGGUAACUCUACAUCAAAUCCUAGUCUUUGAGGAUUCUGGCUCCAGCAUCAGAAGCUCAGGACUAGAUAUCUUUUUAUUAUAAAUAACUUGUCCACUGCAAAUGUUGAGGCUAAAGCUAAAGAGUUUAUUGAAAAUUUGAAUUUUAUACUAUCCCUGGUUAGCGUUGUAUAUAGUUAUGGAGAGGGAGAGAUUUAGCUUGGCACUACAUUCCUUACCUUAAACAGUUCUCUGGAUGCAAUUUACCUUUGGAGUUACUCUUUCUGUUUGGCAUUUUGAAAUAUUUUGAAAUAAAAUUGAAACAUUUGAACAGAGAUAAUGUGCAAGCCGUUUAUGUAAACUGCCAGGUUUGAUUUUUCUACUUACUUUAUUCAUUUUGGAAAGCCGGUUUUUAUUCUUGGUAUUUGUACUAUGUCUAGGUUCUGUUUUAAACAGAACUUGUAAUAUCUAGUGUGGAAGAACUAUCACUGCUGAAAAUUUAGGAAGCUGGCUUGGGAAGAUUACUAUUGGGAAGUUCUAAGGGAACGAGUGGUAGAUUCAAAAGCUUUGAUUGUAGAGGUUUCUUUUCGUCUGUUUUGUUUUUGAGUUUACUUCAUAAACUUGGAGUUGGGUUGUCUGAAAUCCUCAUGUUGCAAUAAAUAUUAUUAUCUCAUCUUGUUGAUUCAAAUUUUUUUUCUGACACAUGGAAGUAUAUUAUUUGUUGAAUGCUUUUAAGGGACUCGGGAUGCCUGUUAAUUCUUUUACCUCAAAGGUACGAUCCAUGGUUUAUUUUUUAUGUAGUUGCGAGUCCAAGUUUAUUUCAACUCAAAUGUGUUUGUUUUAGAUUUUCAAAGCCUGUUCAAACAGCAUUGCAUACGGGCCUCCUCACCCUUGGGCAGUGGUAAUCUCAAAUUUAAGAUUGAAGUUCUGUUUAAGCAUUUAAGUGUUGACCUCAAGGAUGUCACACCCUCUUCUCUUCUAAAGGAUGUAGUUUGACAAUUUGAAGAUCAGUCAUUAAGCAUCAACUUGUUACUCACCUUACGCUGGGCAUUGCUUUACGAGCUAUUUCAGUUGCUCAUACUGAACCUGACGUUGGCCAUAGUUCCAAUACUAAUCACCGACCCGGUCUUAUUCAAUCUUCUGCUCCACAAAUUGAGAUUGCAGGCCCACCAUUUUCUCUGAUCGGACCCGGCAGCAUAUUGUCUGGAUUAGCAAUUCCCUCUUAGAUCCCACUACAACAGAGACCACCAAGUUCUCUAGAUGAGAGUGGACUCCUAAUUUCAUGAAGCCAACACAAUACACCUACCUUU